UGCAUGAAACUCGUUUACGAAUUCUUCGAAGGUAUGUCGCGGGUAGUCAUUGCACUUAACGUAGUAUCUUACUAUUUCUUCGAUACUCGUCCUUUAACGUUAAAUUAUUUUUUUCCUCCACUCUCGCAAUACACAAAAAGGAGCUAACAACAAUUGAGUGAAGGUAACGGUCGGACCGAAUACCGAGCCAUGAGAGAAGAAUCAUUUUUGAGCAGUAUAUACUACCGGGAACGGUAUGCCUUCAAUAAGCAUCGAGGUCGUUUCACGAACCAGUUCGAAUAGCGAUAGACGGAAAGUACCUACAUUACGUUCUUCCGGAGAAAGAAUUGACGUACCUACAGAUCUCAACGAUUCAACAAAUUUGGAGACGCAGCUGGAAUGAUUGGAACUGAUGUUUUCCAGUUCGCACUUUGAGACCACACAACAACCGCUCAGCAAUAUGUUGCUUUUACUGGGCAUCAUUUUAAAUUUAUUGCAUCUGUACACUUAUGGUUCGAAGAAUUUGUGAACUUUAUUUUGCCUCUUGUUUUUACGAUAUUUUUUGCGUUUAUUCAUUAAUUCAAUUUCACGGGAUUGCAUAGAACAUAUAUUGUUACGUUAUUAUUUCUUAUACAAAAAGGUUCUUCUAUCGAAAAUUAAAAAUUCAUAAUCUUUUCCAAGGAAAAAAAAUAUUGGGACAAGUACAUUGUUGGUCCCUCGUUUGCUGAUAAAUCCAUCCAUAAAAAAAACUUGAAA